UAUUAAUAAUUAAAAUCGCUUUGCAAUUUCUAUACGUGUCUAAUCUACCUUUUUAGCGCCAAAACGUGUGCUGGUUUAGAUCACGUUCUAUCGUACAACUUCUAGUGUUCUUAAUGGUGCAGAUUUGUCUCAUACAUAUAUUAUAUACCAUGUAUAUAAUAAACAAAUUUAAUAUUAAGGAACAUGCACUUUGUUUAAUAUUCGCACAUUAAUCUUUGUGGUCGAAUGUCGAAUAAGCCACGUCAUUGAACUAUUUUUUCGAAAAGACAUACAAUUUUUGAACGAAUAUGAUAUAUAUUUGUACAUAGAUAUACAUACAUAUGUAUAUGUAUAUGUUUAUUUUGCAUAUGUAGAUUCAUGCAAGUUCGCUUUCGGUUUGUUGGCAAUUGCGAAACGCUCGCACAUCUUUCUGUCAGCUCAGUAGCAUGAACCCAAAGUAGACCGGACCUUAGGAGUGUCAGAAUCGCUGGCGUGAUCAUUCACCGCGGCGAUGAGGUAAGUUGAGGGAAGGUCAAAUACAAUGUUAUAUACAUAUGUAUACAUAUACAUAUGUAUACAUAAAAGUGUCUGUGUAAGCGAUAGGUGGGUAUAUGAAAGCUAUUUUUUCAUAACGCUUCAGUUCAUCGUGGCCAGAGCGAGACAAAUUUUGUACUUGGCGGACAAAGUAGUGAAUCGUACUUUGUAGUUGAAUGGAAAAAAUCACGUAGUAAAGGCAUUCAUAUUUUAUGAUUGUUGUUCAUUAGCAAAAAGUCAUAAAAUGGCGAGUUACCUCGUUUCGCGAACUUUGGUUGCUAACGCGACUAGCGACUAGCGCAACCAGCUUGCAGCUUCCAUUAAUCAUGUAUUGAAAGCACACUCCAAUAGCGUGGUCAGCGUCAUCAUCCGCUAAACCACCACUACCACCACAAACACCAGUCUCAACAGCAUCAACGAUCACAGACAACAACAUCUGUGUCUCUGGUGCUAUGUUCAACGUACUAUUGCCGAUUGUGCUCACGCGAAAACCGGUUCUUUGCCACAGUCACAAAGCAUCAGCAUACUCCAUCGUGCCAAAUAACAACAGCAGCAGCAACCACGGCAGCAACGCCAACAAGAGUAGUAGUAAUAACAGCAUCAGCUGUUUUUCCCCAAAACCAAUACGAACCUACAUGCAUACAGCAGACACAGAGCCAAACAAACACACACACACACCAUAUAGACACAUGAGGUGGCGGUUAAGUUUCAUUGCUUGCUCUUGCACAUAUCUAUUUACCACAUGUAUACAUACAGACGCCGCGCCGCACAUGGACUUCGACAAUGAAAUCACGCUGCUGGUGCGUGAUAGCCGAAGUACUUAUUUGUGUAUGUGUGUGUGCAUGUUGUUCAACGCAGUCGUG